rnacentral:rRNA from 1 species
GACGAACGCUGCGGCGUGCUUAACACAUGCCAGUUGAACGGAAAGGCCUGCUUUUCCUUGUGGAUUGCGGGUUCUCGAGUGGCGAAUGGGUGAGUAAUACGUGAGUGAUUAGCCCCCAAUUUGGGUUUAAGCCUGGGAAACUGGGUCUAAUUUCCGAUAGGAUUGAUGGGUGGUGCUUGUGGUGGACAACGAUUUUCUUGUGGUUGGGGAUGAGCUCGCGGCCUAUCAGUCUGUUGGUGGGGUCAUGGCCUACCAAGGCGGCGACGGGUAGCCGGCAGGGGAGGGUGAACGGCCACAUUGGGACUGGGACACGGCCCAAACUCCGGCAGGAGGCAGGAGUGGGGGAUAAUGGACGGUGGGCGGAAGCCGGAAGCAGCGACGCCGCGUGGAGGAUUACGGCCUUCGGGUUGUAGUCUCCUGUCGACCGCGAGGAAGCCACCUGGUUGGAAGGGUGGUGACGGUAGUGGUAGAAGAAGCACCGGCUAACUACGUG